rnacentral:lncRNA from 1 species
AUUCAGGUCGAUACCAUAAACCCGCCUCCACACUCAGACACUCUGAGUUUCUGCACUGCUGGUGGGUUUCCGUCAGAGGGCAUGGCUCACUCCAUCGAGGCCUUUCUGUACAGGAGUCUGCCUUGCUUCAUUCCCUGAUGCUCCAGUCAGAUCAGUCUCAAAGCCGUGCAGGAUUUCAUAAGUGGUGCCUAAAUGGGAACCUUGACCACAGGGCACCCACAUCCGUCCGGCGAGGGGUGCUCUCAUGAGAAGGGCCCCAAUCCAGAAUCUUACUAAACUCCUGCUACAAAGGACUGGCCCUCUGCCCCCGAGAAAGCCACAGAUAGUGACAGCUGCAGCUCUUACAAUGCCACCAGGACCUGAGAGACAGAGAGGCGACUUUGAUUCACAUGUCAUCCCUGCCUGGACUUACCUGACACCUCAGACUGGUACUGAGGGAAGUGAGGAGAGGAUGGGGCUACCCAACCCACAGUGAUAUUGCAUCUUGGGUCUGGGCCACUGAGAGCUUUAAGGUGAUGUAAACUUAAUCCUCACUGCAACCUCGCUUAGGGGAAGACAGCUGGGGAAGACAUUAAUAUUUUUAACUGCC